rnacentral:rRNA from 1 species
AACGAACGCUGGCGGCAUGCCUAACACAUGCAAGUCGAACGAGACCUUCGGGUCUAGUGGCGCACGGGUGCGUAACGCGUGGGAACCUGCCCUUAGGUUUGGAAUAACUCCUCGGAAGGGGUGCUAAUACCGGAUAAUGUCUUCGGACCAAAGAUUUAUCGCCUUUGGAUGGGCCGGCGUUGGAUUAGCUGGUUGGUAGGGUAAAAGCCUACCAGGGCGACGAUCCAUAGCUGGUCUGAGAGGAUGAUCAGCCACACUGGGCCUGAGACACGGCCCAGAAUCCUACGGGAGGCAGCAGAGGGGAAUAUAGGACAAUGGGGGAAAGCCUGAUCCAGCAAUGCCGGGUGAGUCAUGAAGGCCGUAGGGUAGUAAAGCUGUUUUACACGGGACGAUAAUGACAGUACCGGGAGAAUAAGCUCCGGCUAACUCCGUG